AAGACUUUAAGUUAAUUAAAAACUUAUAGCCUUCAAAGUUAAAAAUAUUCUCUAGAAUAAGUCUUA
rnacentral:tRNA from 1 species